ensembl:lncRNA
GAGGAAAGAGAGAGAGGCAGGAGGAGAAUGAUACUGCAGAGUGGUUGAGGAAAGAGAGAGAGCAGGAGGAGAAUGAUACUGCAGAGUGGUUGAGGAAAGAGAGAGACAGGAGGAGAAUGAUACUGCAGAGUGGUUGAGGAAAGAGAGAGAGACAGGAGGAGAAUGAUACUGCAGAGUGGUUGAGGAAAGAGAGAGGCAGGAGGAGAAUGAUACUGCAGAGUGGUUGAGGAAAGAGAGAGACAGGAGGAGAAUGAUACUGCAGAGUGGUUGAGGAAAGAGAGAGAGACAGGUGGAGAAUGAUACUGCAGAGUGGUUGAGGAAAGAGAGAGAGACAGGAGGAGAAUGAUACUGCAGAGUGGUUGAGGAAAGAGAGAGAGACAGGAGGAGAAUGAUACUGCAGAGUGGUUGAGGAAAGAGAGAGAGACAGGAGGAGAAUGAUACUGCAGAGUAGUUGAGGAAAGAGAGAGAGGCAGGAGGAGAAUGAUACUGCAGAGUGGUUGAGGAAAGAGAGAGAGACAGG